GAGACCUGCUGGGCUGCAUUCCCAGGAGGUUAGGCAUUCUAAGUCACAGGAUAAGAUAAGAGGUGGGCACAAGAUACAGGUCAUAAAGAUCUUGCUGAUAAAACAGGUCGCAGUAAAGAAACUGGGCAAAACCCACCCAUACCAAGAUGGCGAUGAGAGUGCCCUCUGGUUAUCCUCACUGCUCAUUUUACGCUAAUUAUAAUGCAUUAGCAUGCUAAAAGACACUCCUACCAGGGACAUGACAGUUUAUAGAUGCCAUGGCAAUGUCAGGAAUUUACCCUAUAUUGUCUAAAAAGGGGAGGAACCCUCAGUUCUGGGAAUUGCCCACCCCUUUCCCGGAAAACUCAUGAAUAAUCCAUCCCUUGUUUAGCAUAAAAUCAAGAAGCAACAAUAAGUAUAAGGAGCUGAGCAGCCCUUGCAGCAGCGCUGCCUAUGGAGUAGCCAUUCUUUAUUUCUUGACUUUAAUAAACUUGCUUUCACUUUACUCUAUGGACUUGCAUCAAAUUCUUUCUUGUGAGAGAUCCAAGAACACACUCUUGGGGUCUGGAUCAGGACCCCUUUCUGGUAACACCACCGCCAGCUUUCUGCAGAUGGCAGAUUGUGGGACUUACUUUUUAACCUUCAUAACUGCAUGGCCAAUUUAUCAUAUUAAAUCUUAUUUUCAUUAUAUAUAUCUGCAUCCUACUGUUUCUCUGAAGAACCCUAAUACAUUUCCAUCUCUUUGCAGCUAGAAUCAGCCAAAAACAUAUAAGGAGACUCCACCAGGAGUGGGGAGUUCUUGAGAAAGCUUUUGCUUCUGAAAAAAGAUAAAAGUACACAGGAGAGCUGUCUGGUGCCAUUCCCUGAGCAUGUGAGAGACUGUGUCACUGGGAGCAGCAGUUAUCUCUGGCCAUAAGUUGAGAUGACUGGGUGAAACGCUAAAAUGUUGAGAAGGGACUGCGUUAAUGAUUCCCAACCAUCAGCAUUGAAGAAGAGGUCUGGAAAAAUGUGAAGAGUGCUAAGGCUUGUGUGGAGAAUAGAGGGGAGCAUGAAGAUAAUCCACAGCCUGCAGGCAGGGACUUCAUGGACACUCUGCAUGCUGCAGCAGCCACAGAAUUCAGCCACAGGUGCCAGCUGGACAAUACAUAGGAGUGAAUGAGACAGAAAGCGAGACCAUGAGGAUGAUUAAGAAGAGCAAGUACAACAUGGCUGAGACUAAGUGUCCAGGGAGUUGAGAAUAAGUGGCCUAUUGUCAUGUCCUAUAUAAGUAGAGUAUGUGGAUGGGAGGCCAAGAACACACCAACAAAUAAAAUGUUGAAUACAUCAGUCAAGGGCCUAUCAAGAUGAUCAGGAUGCUGGCUAUUGGAAUGUUUAUCCUCCCACCCCACCCCAGAAGAGGACCUUCUUGGCUUGUUCACCGCUGUUUCCCAGCCUGGCACACAGCAGGUGCACAAUGAAUAUUCAUUAAAAUCAAUGAUUAACUAAACUGGCUAGUAUUCCAUCUCACUUUCAUUACUGGAGAACUGAAGAGCCAGCUAGCCUACAAAAACUCAUUCUGGAUUUAGAAGCAAUAAGAAAACAUGCAUUCAAAUAAAAUCAGAGAAUCCUUCUAAUGUUUCUUCAUGUGUCUAUCUUUUCCCAUCCCCAACACCAUUUAUUUAUUUUUCUUGACCUGCAAAGGAUCUGUUUUGUCCAUGAUGAGUCCCAAAAAUAGCCCCCAAAGUGGUUCUCCUCACCUACCCCACCCCACCGAUGCUGCAUCACAUGGUAGGGUGUUACCUUGCUCCUCCAUGCAGGGAGCUUUUCUCAGCACCACUAAGGUACCAGGGAAGUGGUAACUGGGAACAAUUUUUCCCAAUAUAGAUAAAGCCUGGAUUAAAAAGUACGGUGAUACAUAGGCAAGGGGUAGAUGGGGCCUUCCUAGAGGACACGAUGUCUUCCUGAAUUUAAUCCAUUAAUAAUCAACAAACCAGCCCUACUGAUUUAAUGCCUAGGCUUUGCUGCCUGACUAUAUUUAACAAAGCUUUCGAAUGGCAGGGUGAUUUCCUACAGGAAUACUGAGUUUUUUCCAGGGACAGAUGUAGCCUUGGUACAUUGUCUGGUUAUGUAGAAUUUUUUUUUUUAACUGCACUUGUGCUGUUCUCCUUUUUUCAGCUCGUAGCUGGAGACCCUUUGCUGCUACCUCAAAACCUUUUUGAAAU